ensembl:lncRNA
GUACGUUUUCCAGUAAUGACUCUCAAUGGAAAGAUAAUAUAUCUUUUUAUUUUUAGUUUUCCAUGAGUUUAUUCAUGAAUUGGCUUGAAUUUUGACAAAAAUUUUCUUGGUAUCUAUUAAGAAGUGUGUCUAGAUUGUCUCCUUCUGUCAAUAUGGUGAUUGUCUAACCUUUAGAUAUUAAUGCCAACAUGCACUCUUGAUAUCCCGACCCCCAGUUAGUGCAUCUAUUCCUCUUUUGUAUUGUUGGAUCUGAUUUGGUAGUACUUGUGACGAAUCCCUGAUAGAGAUUGGUCUGUAAUUUAUAUUUCUUGAUGACAUUUUCAGAUCUUAUAAAACUAGUUGUAAGGUAUUGCUUCUUGCUCUAUUUUCUGGACAGGUUGGUGCUCUACUCGGACCACUCUCGUCUUUUACUGACUGGAAGCAAGCACUCAAAGGCUGCAAGUGCAGGUGGCUGGCAGCUCUCAGCUAAGUUUCUCUCCAGGAACUGCCUUGGCCUUCAGGAGCCUCCUCCUCCUCAAGGCCUCAUGGGUGUGAUGUCUCAGGCUUUUGAGAGAUGCCUACUCAGAAUAUACUUUCUCUUCUGCUCUCCACCUUAAACAGUCAUUGAUCUACCUUGGAGGGAUCUAUCUGAUGUUUUCCCAGAUCUGCAUUUGACUGGAGUUUGGGUGAUUUUGUCUGAGUUUGGCUGGGCUUGCUCACCACUGUCUGUUAUGGUCAUGAAUGCUCUACCUGUAUCCUUUUACUAGGGCUAGUAACUCCCUGGGUGUUCAGGUCAUAUUUUUCUCAUAGCAGGUAGUGGAAGUGUGAUGGGGCAAGCAAAAUAACACAAAUAUUUAAACUACUCUUUUGUUCAUGUCCUAUCCCUUAGGAGUACAUUUGUCAGAGAAAAUCACAUGUCCGACCUCUACUUAAGUUGGAAGCACAACCAAGUGACGUGGCAGGGAAGUAAAGAGUCAGGAACAAUAAUGUAAUCUACUUUACUAAGUAUAUCAUGAGUUCAGAUAAUUUUUUAAAAAUCCUUCUUUAUUUUCUUUUUAAAAGGAAGAAACAUUAAUUACUAACUUUCACAAAUUUGGAAGAUAACCAGUGGUUGAACUAGACUCCAAUCUAUAUCUGUUUGGUCCCAAAAUUCAGGCUUUCACUUCUUGUACAUAUUACCUAAGUAAAUCACUAUCCACAUUUAAAAACAUAUAUUCUUUCAUCGAAUUCCAGUACAUUUAGAACUCUCUGACAUUUUACUGUGACAUCUCUAUAGUAUUCUUUUGAAAGAUUCUCAUAUCUAGUUUGCAUUUUUUGCUAAUUUUUGUUCUGCUAAUGAAAAAAAUUGAGAGUAUGAUCUUGUCUGUAUUUAGUACUUCUUAGUAUUUCGCCUUUAACAUCUCAAUGUUGAAAGAGACCUGAGAAAAUGAUUAAAUCAUCCUCUUGAAAAAUGCUUGAAAUUCCUCUAUUAUAAAUCCAAUAAGCAUCAAUUCAGCUUUUGUUUGAGUGGGUAAAAGUUUACACAUGUUUAUUCUGAUAUAUGUCCUCUCAUGAAGUGGUAAGGUAAUCACAGCCAUUUCUUCACAUUAUGAACUCAUGUAUCAUUAGCAAUCCUUGUGAAUAGGGUCAGAUGCACUUCAUUUCAAACCCCAGCUCCAUGUUUUACCACAUUGCUCAGGUGUCUUAAAAUCUCUGUUCUAUGAAAUGUAUAAAACACGACUGCUAAUCCUUACUCCAAACCACUUUUGUGAAGAUUAUAUGAGAUCUCUUAUGCAAAGUAGCUGUCACAUAAUGCACUUAAUUGGUAAUUUUAAUAUUAAAUCAAAAUUAUCUUUCAUGUUUAGGAACAGCAUGAAAGCUGAAAUUCAAAAUUACCUUGCUCAUAUAAUUAUGUAUUUAUAUGAUUAUUUUACUUGAAUUUUACUGCUGAGCAUUUAAAAUGUACCCCAUACAUAAUUCAAUGGCAAAAAAAAGCAAAAAAGAAAAAAGAGAGAAUAAACCAUCCAGUGCAAAAAUUAUAGUCA